AGCGAACGCUGGCGGCAGGCCUAACACAUGCAAGUCGAGCGCCCCGCAAGGGGAGCGGCAGACGGGUGAGUAACACGUGGGAACGUGCCUUUUGGCUCGGAACAACCCAGGGAAACUUGGGCUAAUACCGGAUAAGCCCUUACGGGGAAAGAUUUAUCGCCAAAAGAUCGGCCCGCGUCUGAUUAGCUAGUUGGUGGGGUAAUGGCCCACCAAGGCUACGAUCAGUAGCUGGUCUGAGAGGAUGAUCAGCCACAUUGGGACUGAGACACGGCCCAAAUUCCUACGGGAGGCAGCAGUGGGGAAUAUUGGACAAUGGGGGCAACCCUGAUCCAGCCAUGCCGCGUGAGUGAUGAAGGCCUUAGGGUUGUAAAGCUCUUUUAGCAGGGAAGAUAAUGACGGUACCUGCAGAAAAAGCCCCGGCUAACUUCGUGCCAGCCGCCGCAGUAAGAC
rnacentral:rRNA from 1 species